rnacentral:rRNA from 1 species
GACGAACGCUGGCGGCGUGCCUAAUACAUGCAAGUAGAACGCUGAAGAGAGGAGCUUGCUCUUCUUGGAUGAGUUGCGAACGGGUGAGUAACGCGUAGGUAACCUGCCUUGUAGCGGGGGAUAACUAUUGGAAACGAUAGCUAAUACCGCAUAACAAUGAAUGACACAUGUCAUUUAUUUGAAAGGGGCAAUUGCUCCACUACAAGAUGGACCUGCGCUGUAUUAGCUAGUAGGUGAGGUAACGGCUCACCUAGGCGACGAUACAUAGCCGACCUGAGAGGGUGAUCGGCCACACUGGGACUGAGACACGGCCCAGACUCCUACGGGAGGCAGCAGUAGGGAAUCUUCGGCAAUGGGGGCAACCCUGACCGAGCAACGCCGCGUGAGUGAAGAAGGUUUUCGGAUCGUAAAGCUCUGUUGUAAGUCAAGAACGAGUGUGAGAGUGGAAAGUUCACACUGUGACGGCAGCUUACCAGAAAGGGACGGCUAACUACGUGCCAGCCGCCGCCGUAA